ensembl:lncRNA
GAGUAGAGGAGAGGAGAGGAGAGGAGAGGGGAGUGGAGGAGUGCACAGGGCUUGAUACUCGUUAGACAGCUGUGGAGACAAUGCUUUUGUUAAUGCAGCACAAAGUCUGGAUGGUGCGGCCUGACUCCAAAUUAAUUCUGAAGGGACAGGCAGGAUCUUGUGCAUAACUUCCUGUGUACUUUGCAGAGGCUGCUCUCAAAGGCGGCUAAAAAGUUUUGGAACCACUGGCCUAGAGGAUUACCAUCCCGACUACAGGGACACCGGUAUGUGCCUGCACCAGAGGGGCAGUAACUGGGUUGCGAUAUCAUCCCAGCAAAAGUGACAAGCCUCUUGUGUGAGCACUUUUAGAGCACCUAGAGCAGCUCCUGGUGAAGCUCCUGGUGAAGCGCAACCGGAAGGGGGAAGGAUAGCCCCAAGGUUGAAAGGAGCUGGACGGACCAACUGGGACCCGACAUUCAAGCAGGGAAGUAACCAGAAGUUGGGUGAAUUGUUUAACCCUGAAUGAAGAGGGGAAAGGGACAUUUUGUGUUGGACUUUUGAGUUGGGUUGAAGAACCUACCUUUGAGUUUUCUUUGUGUGAAGAAAUACCUGAGUUGUACCUUUUUGAAUUAAAAACCUUCUUUUUACCUCCCAUUGUGACUGAUUCAUCAGUUAACUGCACUGCCCAGCCCGUAAACUUGUUACAAUAUAUAUAUAUAUAUAUAUAU